rnacentral:rRNA from 1 species
GUGAGGAAUAUUGGACAAUGGGCGCAAGCCUGAUCCAGCCAUGCCGCGUGCAGGAAGACGCAUCUAUGGUGUGUAAACUGCUUUUGUACGGGAAGAAACACUCCCUCGUGAGGGAGCUUGACGGUACCGUAAGAAUAAGGAUCGGCUAACUCCGUGCCAGCAGCCGCGGUAAUACGGAGGAUCCAAGCGUUAUCCGGAAUCAUUGGGUUUAAAGGGUCCGUAGGCGGUUUAAUAAGUCAGUGGUGAAAGCCCAUCGCUCAACGAUGGAACGGCCAUUGAUACUGUUAGACUUGAAUUACAAGGAAGUAACUAGAAUAUGUAGUGUAGCGGUGAAAUGCUUAGAUAUUACACAGAACACCAAUUGCGUAGGCAGCUUACUGAGCCGACACUGACGCUGAGGCACGAAAGCGUGGGGAUCGAACAGGAUUAGAAACCCGAGUAGUCC